rnacentral:tRNA from 1 species
GGUCCUUGGUAGAGUUGGUUAACGCGUCGGCGUACAUCGCCGAAGUUGCUGGUUCGAGCCCAGCUCGUACCG